CAGCAGCCGCGGUAAUACAGAGGGUGCGAGCGUUAAUUGGAUUUACUGGGCGUAAAGCGUGCGUAGGCGGCUUCUUAAGUCGGAUGUGAAAUCCCUGAGCUUAACUUAGGAAUUGCAUUCGAUACUGGGAAGCUAGAGUAUGGGAGAGGAUGGUAGAAUUCCAGGUGUAGCGGUGAAAUGCGUAGAGAUCUGGAGGAAUACCGAUGGCGAAGGCAGCCAUCUGGCCUAAUACUGACGCUGAGGUACGAAAGCAUGGGGAGCAAACAGGAUUAGAUACCCCAGUAGUCCCUGUCUCUUAUAC
rnacentral:rRNA from 1 species